rnacentral:tRNA from 2 species
GGUCCGGUAGCUCAGCUGGAUAGAGCAACAGCCUUCUAAGCUGUAGGUCCUAGGUUCGAAUCCUAGUCGGAUCA